UACAGAGACCUCAAGCAUUAUCCGGAUUUAUUGGGCGUAAAGGGUCCGCAGGUGGUCGUUCACGUCGAUGGUUAAAGCUCUGGGCUCAACCCAGAGACUGCCGUCGAUACGGAUCGACUCGAGGUCGGGAGAGGUAAGCGGAAUUGCCGGUGUAGUAGUAAUAUGCGUUGAUAUCGGCAAGAACACCAAAUGCGAAGGCAGCUUACUGGAACGCGCCUGACACUCAGGGACGAAAGCGUGGGGAGCGAAAGGG
rnacentral:rRNA from 1 species